UACGUAGGUGGCAAGCGUUGUCCGGAUUUACUGGGGGUAAAGCGUAUGCAGGCGGAUACUUAAGUAGGAAGUGAAAGGUGGGAGCUCAACUCCCACAUUGCUCCCUAUACUGGGUGUCUUGAGUGGCGGAGAGGGAGAUGGAACGACACGUGUAGCGGUGAAAUGCGUUGAUAUGUGUCGGAACACCAAUGGCGAAAGCAAUCUCCUGGACGCAAACUGACGCUGAGAUACGAAAGCCAAGGUAGCAAACAGG
rnacentral:rRNA from 1 species